rnacentral:snoRNA from 1 species
UGCCUUUGUUCCCUUUUCACUGUCUCCAGAGUGAAUGAGGUGUCAAUCAAGGCAUACAGUGAAUUCGGAAAGUA